rnacentral:tmRNA from 1 species
GGGGAUGAAAGUUUCGAUGAUUAGUUCUUUAAAACAAUGCAAGUUGAGUAUUCUGGAAUCUCAAAAAACUUCCAGAAAACAAUAAUUGCUAACUUAUUUAAUAAGAGGCAACCAGCGUUAGCUUUCGCUUAAUGCUGCAUCCUUUCCAUUGAUUCUCAAUAAAUGAAAAAGGGUGUUAUAUUAUUGAGAUAGGUGAUUAUUUUAGCUUUAAAGUAAUUGCUGAAACAAACUAAAGCUAGAACAUUGGAAUUUCGCCUAUCUUUUAUCCAAUGUUUUAAAUUAAAGAUGGGACAAACUUGUAGAGUUGUUUUGUAAUAACUUUUCAGACGAGGAUUCAACUCCUCCAUCUCCACAA